CUGCUAGCAGGGAAGCCCUUGGUGGCCACAUAAGGGCUCCCUUUUCCAACUCUCUCAGCUGCUCCUCACUCUCACUCCUGGGUGUGCUGGGCAGUGGGGUGCAAUGUGCACGUAGGUGCACACUCUCCCUGGGCGGCAGCGAGCAGCAGAGGUCUGAUCUGUGGUCGGAUGACGAGAGGAAGUGCAAGUAAAGCAGCUGCAGCGAGACCUCGUCCGCACAGGGGCUUGUUCUUCUGUGUCUUUGCAGGGCUGUUUUGGACUCAGUAUUCACCUAAGCACUCCAAAUUGUAAGUAACCCCAGAGAUCAUGGAGUGUCCCACUGCCCCUCCA
rnacentral:lncRNA from 1 species